GGCUGAGCUCUGGAGUUGUAGCCUAGGGUCCACUGAUGGCUCCCCUGUCCUUCCAUUACAGACUUACGUGUCUGUGCUUUCUUUCUUUUUUUUUUCUAGAAGGGCUCUGGCUUUCUGCAGAUUCUUCUCAAGGGAGGCUGUGACCCAUAAGAUUUGCAGCUGAUGCUGAACAACCUUAUAUUACAGAAGGGGGUCUGGGGACCUCAGAGUGGAGAAGCUGGCUAAAGGUCACCUGGAAGUUUAGCAGCAAGUUGGAAAGAAGAACUCAAGACUCCAGACUGUACGAUGCUAUUUAGUGUCUGAUUGAAGGUCAUCUCCUCUGAGAAGACUUCCCUGAACUCAUCCCAUCUUCUGCAUUACAUCGCAUAUACCUUGAAAGGACACCCUUUAUUGCAACAAGUCACUUCAGUGGAAUCUGUCCCUGCUAGAAUGGAAAAAAAAAAAUCUCCUGGAGCUCAAAGCGGCUUGUCCAAGUUCCCCCAGGGAGUGAGUGGCAGAGCUGGGAUUUGAAUCCAAAAUGCUUUUGCACCUCCUACACCACCAGUGCUGCCGUGGUGUUUGUUCAGCAUCCAGCUGAAGGCAGCAUGGCCCUCACGGCGGGCCCUCUCAACUGGGCUGUGGAGCAGCCGAAGUACAGAGCCUGGCUCCCCCACCAUCCUGGGAGAAAGAAACUACAAAGAGAGGAAAAGAAAUUGACCUUCAUGGAGCUCAUAAUCCACUGGAGAGAUGGCUCAGACACCAGUGGAGGAGCCAAAAGAACAAACUCAAUCCAUCACGAACUCUUUUUAAAAUGUAUUAUGUAUAGGAAUGACACCCCUCAUAGAAGAAUCCCAGGAUUUUCUCUUCUGUGUGUUUCUGUUUCACUUCCUUGCAGCCAUGAUACUAGCUGAGGUCAUCGGUGCAAUGAGAUGAAAGAAGAUGCUUCUGUCACUUCUCUAGAUCUUUGAGUGAUACGUCAGAUUCAAGGCUAAUCACACUUACUUAACCUGUGUGUGAGUUUCGCAAUGAUGUUCUUGCUCCGUGAUCAUCAAUGAUUUCCAAUUCACCCGUGUAGCCAUGCUUCAUCAUCACACUAGAAGUCAUGUAAACCUUUCAAGGAAAGACUUCCACUACAAACAAACAACAAUUAAAAGCCAGAUGAUGACUUCGG